AGCCUUAGUGGUUGCAAUAUUUUAUCAUGUGCCAGCUCCAUUUUCGAUACUCCUAAAAUAUUAAAUUGAGACCUUAGAGAAAGGAAGCAUUAAAUUGAUAAUUACUCUCUGUUUCAAAAUAUUACUUCAUCUGUUCUUAAACGUAUGAUGUUCUACAAAAUUUUGAUGUUCCAAUAUAUAAGAUGUUUUCAUUUUCCUAGGUAACUUUUACUUUAUUAAAAACUGUGUAUUCAAACAUAU
rnacentral:lncRNA from 1 species